AGACCCGAAACCCGGUGAUCUAGCCAUGGGCAGGUUGAAGGUUGGGUAACACUAACUGGAGGACCGAACCGACUAAUGUUGAAAAAUUAGCGGAUGACCUGUGGCUGGGGGUGAAAGGCCAAUCAAACCGGGAGAUAGCUGGUUCUCCCCGAAAGCUAUUUAGGUAGCGCCUCGUGAAUUCAUCUCCGGGGGUAGAGCACUGUUUCGGCUAGGGGGCCAUCCCGGCUUACCAACCCGAUGCAAACUGCGAAUACCGGAGAAUGUUAUCACGGGAGACACACGGCGGGUGCUAACGUCCGUCGUGAAGAGGGAAACAACCCAGACCGCCAGCUAAGGUCCCAAAGUCAUGGUUAAGUGGGAAACGAUGUGGGAAGGCCCAGACAGCCAGGAUGUUGGCUUAGAAGCAGCCAUCAUUUAAAGAAAGCGUAAUAGCUCACUGGUCGAGUCGGCCUGCGCGGAAGAUGUAACGGGGCUAAACCAUGCACCGAAGCUGCGGCAGCGACACUCAGGUGUUGUUGGGUAGGGGAGCGUUCUGUAAGCCUGCGAAGGUGGCCUGUGAGGGUUGCUGGAGGUAUCAGAAGUGCGAAUGCUGACAUAAGUAACGAUAAAGCGGGUGAAAAGCCCGCUCGCCGGAAGACCAAGGGUUCCUGUCCAACGUUAAUCGGGGCAGGGUGAGUCGACCCCUAAGGCGAGGCCGAAAGGCGUAGUCGAUGGGAAACGGGUUAAUAUUCCCGUACUUGGUGUUACUGCGAAGGGGGGACGGAGAAGGCUAUGUUGGCCGGGCGACGGUUGUCCCGGUUUAAGCGUGUAGGUGUGUGUUCCAGGUAAAUCCGGUUCACUUUAACACUGAGGCGUGACGACGAGGCACUACGGUGCUGAAGCAACAAAUGCCCUGCUUCCAGGAAAAGCCUCUAAGCAUCAGGUAACAUCAAAUCGUACCCCAAACCGACACAGGUGGUCAGGUAGAGAAUACCAAGGCGCUUGAGAGAACUCGGGUGAAGGAACUAGGCAAAAUGGUGCCGUAACUUCGGGAGAAGGCACGCUGACACGUAGGUGAAGUGAUUUACUCAUGGAGCUGAAGUCAGUCGAAGAUACCAGCUGGCUGCAACUGUUUAUUAAAAACACAGCACUGUGCAAACACGAAAGUGGACGUAUACGGUGUGACGCCUGCCCGGUGCCGGAAGGUUAAUUGAUGGGGUCAGCGCAAGCGAAGCUCCUGAUCGAAGCCCCGGUAAACGGCGGCCGUAACUAUAACGGUCCUAAGGUAGCGAAAUUCCUUGUCGGGUAAGUUCCGACCUGCACGAAUGGCGUAAUGAUGGCCAGGCUGUCUCCACCCGAGACUCAGUGAAAUUGAACUCGCUGUGAAGAUGCAGUGUACCCGCGGCAAGACGGAAAGACCCCGUGAACCUUUACUAUAGCUUGACACUGAACAUUGAGCCUUGAUGUGUAG
rnacentral:rRNA from 2 species